rnacentral:lncRNA from 1 species
CACAGUGCUACGCUGGCUGUGUGAGAGUGUAUUUGUGCGCCGGUGCUGCCAACUAACAUCGCAGUACUUGUUUUAUAAUCUGUACCUGUGCCUUCCAUGCACCAGGUGCCAGGCGCCAGGCUGAGCUCGUGCAGUUAAGAGAGAAAAACAGACAGACAUUCUUAGGGAGCUGUCAGACUGAAAAGAAAUUGUCCUCGGCACCACAAGGAGAAAUGUGUGGGGGGCUGCAUCUAGCCUGAGUGGCCUGGGAGAGCUUGCCGGGGAAGUCAUGUUUAUGCUGAGGUCUAAGGAAGGACAAGGAAGGAGCCUGGCAGAUACUGAGUGGAGGGAACAGUGUUCCAGGCAGAAGGAACAGCAUACACGAAGGCCCUGAGGCACACGUAUGUUCACUUGUUAGGAGAACUCAGAGGACAGUGAGUCUGGAGCGUGGGGAGCCGGGGUGAGAGGACAAGCUGGGAAGGGAGGGACAUACAGGGACAGACCAUGUGGCACCUUGCAGGCCUUACAAAGGGGUUCUGUACUGUUUUAAAACCAGAUCAUUAAAAAAAUACUAAGGCAAGCUUUGCAAGUCAGAGUAAGAUUUUGGCUUUUCAGAAUUCCAAGGUCUAUUGCAAUAUGAAAUCAGUGAAAGGCAUUGCUGAACUCUUUUUUUUUAUUGUUUAUUUUUAUUUACGUACUUGUCUCUGCUAGGUCUCGCUUGCGGCAUGUGGGAUCUAGUUCCUUGACCAGGGAUGGAACCCAGGUCCCCUGCAUUGGGAGCGCAAAGUCUUAACCAUUGGACCAGCAGGGAUGUCCCUGUGGCUAUAAUUCAUGUCUGCUUCUCACAAGCAUUUCACGCACGUGACCCUGCAUUCUGACACCCGCACCCAGGGCAUCAUUACUACCCACGGCCCAUUGACACAGGGAGGCUUUGCAGGUACAACGAAGCAGCCCUGGCAAGCGGAAAUGUUAAAUAAAAGUACUGCCUUCUUCCCAGGGCGCAGUGAGGAUUAAAUGAGUCAACACCUGCAAAGUGAUCAGAGUAGGGCCUGGUAUGUGGUAAGUGCUGAGUAAAUGUUAGUUGUUGUAAUAGUAAUAAUAAUUAUUAUCUCGAGCAGCUCUGCAAAAUCACACGCGUGGGUCGUGUCAGUGAGAGAUGUGAGAUCCUCUUUGAUACUGGGGGCGCGGGGUCCCCAGGGAUGCUGAGGGUCACCUGUUCCAGGUAGGAGGGUGUCUGGUGAGAGCGCCCCCUCCUGUAGAUGGCCCCCACGCCCCCACCGGGUGCUGCCAGCCUGGGGGCUCCUCUGCACGGGGUGGGAAAGGCAGGUGUGCCCCUUUAGUCUGGAGCUUCAGGUGCCCCCCGGGAGUCUGACAAGCCCUGAAGGGCAGACGGGGGCGGUCUGGAUGGAGGCCGGUCUGGAUGGAGGCCGUCAAGCACUGGCGUGCACAGCUCUGACUGCUAACCCUGCUCCAGCCCCGGCAGGUUGGAGAGCAGGGGACCGGAGGUGGGGGUGACUCUGGAGGGCUGGGGACUUCUCAUGGGCCUCUCCGUUUCUGGCAGCAGGGACCCCCAGCACUGGCCCGAGGAGAAGCAGGAGGAUGUGGUUUAUUUUAAGAUGCAGAAGCCCUUAAAAGAGGCACGUCAGCAGUUCUGAGAAUGGGUCUCUGUAGAUGUCGUUUGUAUAAGAAAUGUCUAAAUCAUCAGAAAUAGCGAAGAAACUGCAAAUCAGGAUGGGCAGAGAUACCCUGGAAGCAGACGCCUUGCGGUACUUGUCUCAAGUUUAUGACAACGCCCUUGGGUUUGGGAUUCUUGAAGAGUGGGAGAAAG